AUUGAACGCUGGCGGCAUGCCUUACACAUGCAAGUCGAACGGCAGCACGGGCUUCGGUCUGGUGGCGAGUGGCGAACGGGUGAGUAAUGUAUCGGAACGUACCAUUGAGUGGGGGAUAACGUAGCGAAAGUUACGCUAAUACCGCAUAUUCUCUCCGGAGGAAAGCAGGGGACCGCAAGGCCUUGCGCUCUUUGAGCGGCCGAUAUCAGAUUAGCUAGUUGGUGGGGUAAAAGCUCACCAAGGCGACGAUCUGUAGCGGGUCUGAGAGGAUGAUCCGCCAACCUGGAACUGAGACACGGUCCAGACUCCUACGGGAGGCAGCAGUGGGGAAUUUUGGACAAUGGGGGCAACCCUGAUCCAGCCAUGCCGCGUGAGUGAAGAAGGCCUUCGGGUUGUAAAGCUCUUUCGGCCGGGAAAAAAUCGCAUGGAUUAAUACUCUGUGUGGAUGAUGGUACCGGAAUAAGAAGCACCGGCUAACUACGUGCCAGCCGCCGCGGUAAGAC
rnacentral:rRNA from 1 species